ACGAACGCUAGCGGCGUGCCUAAUGUAUGCAAGUCGAGCGGGGCAAGGGACUUCGGUCCUUUGUUCAGCGGCAAACGGUUGAGAACACGUAGGCAACCUGCCCCAGAGACGGGAUAGCCCGCCGAAAGGCGGAUUAAUACCGGAUGUGGCGAGAGGGAGCAUGCCCUUUCUGCUAAAGGGAGCAAUCCGCUCUGGGAUGGGCCUGUCGGCCUAUCAGCUUGUUUGGUGAGGUGACGGCUCACCAAGGCGACGACGGGUAGCUGGUCUGAGGAGGAUGGUUCAGCCAGACAGGGACUGAGACACGGCCCUGACUCCUUUGGGGUGGCAGCAAUGAGGGAUAUUGCACAAUGGGGGAAACCCUGAUGCAGCGACGCCGCGUGGGUGACGAAGUCCUUCGGGAUGUAAGCCCUUUUCUCGGGGAAGAGAAUGGACGGUACCCGAGGAAGAAGCCCCGGCUAACUACGUGCCAGCAGCCGCGGUGGUAAUACGUAGGGGGCAAGCGUUGUCCGGAAUUACUGGGCGUAAAGCGCGCGUAGGCGGGACAGAAAGUCCGGCGUGAAAGCCUCCGGCUCAACCGGAGAGAGCCGUCGGAUACUUUUGUCUUGAGGGUCGAAGAGGAGAGUGGAAUUCCCGGUGUGUAGCGGUGAAAUGCGUAGAGAUCGGGAGGAACACCCAUGGCGAAGGCAUGCUCUCUGGUCGGCUACUGACCGCUGAGGUGCGAAAGCGUGGGGAGCGAACGGGAUUAGAUACCCCGGUAGUCCACGCCGUAAACGAUGGUCACUAGGUGUAUGCGGUUAUCGACCCCGCAUGUGCCGCAGCUAACGCAAUAAGUGACCCGCCUGGGGAGUACGGCCGCAAGGUUGAACUCAAAGGAAUUGACGGGGGCCCGCACAAGCGGUGGAGCAUGGGGAUUAAUUCGUCACUAACCGAAGAACCUUACCAGGGUUUGACAUCGCGGAAAGGCCGUGAAAAGCGUUCCCCUCCGGGGUUAACUCGGACUCGCGAGACAGGUGUUGCAUGGCUGUCGUCAGCUCGUGUCGUGAGAUGUUGGGUUAAGUCCCGCCAACGAGCGCUAACCCCUCACGCGAUGUUGCCAGCGGGUAAAGCCGGGAACUCUUCGCGAACUGCCCGGGUAACCGGGAGGAAGGUGGGGAUGACGUCAAGUCGGCAUGGCCCUUACAUUCCAGGGCUACACACUGUCUACAAAUGGGCGCGAUACAGAGGGUAGGCCAAGACCGCGAGGCUGGAGCUAAUCCCAGAAAAGGCGCUCGUCAGUUCCGGAUUGCAGGCUGCAACUCGACUCGAUGAAGUCGGAAUCGCUAGUAACCGCCGGAUCAGCUCAACUGGCCGGUGAAUACGUUCCCGGGCCUUGUACACACCCGCCCGUCACAUCACAUGAGUCUGCUGCACCAGAAGUCCGGUCGCCUAACCGCAAGGGGGGCGCCGUCCACGGUGUGGCCGAUGACUGGGGUG
rnacentral:rRNA from 1 species